rnacentral:rRNA from 1 species
UGGUUAAUACCCAUCAGCCGUGACGUUACCUACAGAAGAAGCACCGGCUAACUCCGUGCCAGCAGCCGCGGUAAUACGGAGGGUGCGAGCGUUAAUCGGAAUUACUGGGCGUAAAGCGUACGUAGGCUGUUACUUAAGCCAGAUGUGAAAGCCCCGGGCUCAACCUGGGAACUGCAUUUGGAACUGAGUAACUAGAAUGUGUGAGAGGCAAGUGGAAUUUCCAGUGUAGCGGUGAAAUGCGUAGAGAUUGGAAAGAACACCAGUGGCGAAGGCGACUUGCUGGCAUAACAUUGACGCUGAGGUACGAAAGCGUGGGUAGCAAACAGGAUUAGAUACCCUGGUAGUCCACGCCGUAAACGAUGUCUACUAGUUGUUGGGACCUUUAUGGACUUAGUGACGCAGCUAACGCAUUAAGUAGACCGCCUGGGGAGUACGGUCGCAAGAUUAAAACUCAAAUGAAUUGACGGGGGCCCGCACAAGCGGUGGAGCAUGUGGUUUAAUUCGAUGCAACGCGAAGAACCUUACCUAGCCUUGACAUCCAGAGAAUUUGGUAGAGAUACCUUAGUGCCUUCGGGAACUCUGUGACAGGUGCUGCAUGGCUGUCGUCAGCUCGUGUUGUGAAAUGUUGGGUUAAGUCCCGUAACGAGCGCAACCCUUAUCUUUAGUUGCCAGCACUUCGGGUGGGGACUCUAGAGAGACUGCCGGUGACAAACCGGAGGAAGGCGGGGACGACGUCAAGUCAUCAUGGCCCUUACGGCUAGGGCUACACACGUGCUACAAUGGCAAGGACAGAGGGCAGCGAACUCGCGAGAGUAAGCCAAUCCCAGAAACCUUGUCGUAGUCCGGAUUGGAGUCUGCAACUCGACUCCAUGAAGUCGGAAUCGCUAGUAAUCGCGAAUCAGAAUGUCGCGGUGAAUACGUUCCCGGGCCUUGUACACACCGCCCGUCACACCACGGGAGUUGAUUGCACCAGAAGUAGGUAGCCUAACCUUUGGAGGGCGCUUACCACGGUGUGGUCGAUGACUGGGGUGAAGUCGUAACAAGGUAGCCCUAGGGGAACCUGGGGCUG